UACGUAGGGGGCAAGCGUUGUCCGGAAUUAUUGGGCGUAAAGAGCUCGUAGGCGGUUUGUCGCGUCUGCUGUGAAAACUCAGGGCUUAACCCUGAGCCUGCAGUGGGUACGGGCAGACUAGAGUGUGGUAGGGGAGAUCGGAAUUCCUGGUGUAGCGGUGGAAUGCGCAGAUAUCAGGAGGAACACCGGUGGCGAAGGCGGAUCUCUGGGCCAUAACUGACGCUGAGGAGCGAAAGCAUGGGGAGCGAACAGG
rnacentral:rRNA from 1 species